AAAAAAAAAAGUAAGGGCAAGGGGAACCUUUUACUGUUCUUUAAGAACAAUAAAAAUGUCAUUCGUUUUAGUAUGAUAGAAUAAUGACCAUGACCACAGAUAAAAUUAAGGCCAUUUCAUUAGGGCCACAGACCAUUCUUGAGGAAGAUGCUUGCUCAAUUUCCAUAUUGAUAAAAUACAAAAUCAUCCAAUCCCCCUUUCACUUUGCAAUAAUAAAAUGCACUUGAGAAUAAAUGAUAGACCUCGUUAGAUUGGGUAAGCAAAGGAAUGGAUGCAAGUUGAAAUUAGAGGGCUUGAUCAUACAGAACAUAAAUACAUAUGGUUGAAAAUUCAUCCUUUCAUUCUUAGAGCACCUGAAAGGAGAUGAUUUACACACUACCAACAUUUACUCAACAUCCUCCGUCAAAAAUAAACCGCUUUCUACAACUGGUGGUAGCAGUCGCCGUCGUUGCGUCGUUAUCCUUAUCAUAUGUAUUGAUCCCAAGAGGCUUUGCAUUCUCGUUUUAGUUCUUGCACGAGGUUUUGCAUUCACUCGGAGUCAGAUUCCAUAUUACCCAUAGCUUUCAACCCUCUUGGUCUCUUCUUGGAGAUUUUCUUCUCCCUGACUUCAUACCGUUCUAGUGUUAGAUCGCAUAGCCAUGACCCUGGACUCACAAGCUGCGCAAAAAAUUCCAGUAGAGCAUGAGAACCCAUUCAAAUGUUCAAAUCAUAAAAGUCAAGAAAGGAAAAAUCAAAUCAAUUAUACAUUGGAAAUCAGAGCACAUCUUUUGUGUAAGGUUUAUGCUCUUGAUAAAUUUUGUUCAGAUCUGAUCCACCAUGCAUUGAAAAUACAAACACCUUACAAUUCAUAUAUUAAAUUAAUGAUCAACCAGGUCUAAAUGAGAAAAAUAAUUUACCUUUUCUUUUUCAUUGAUAAUUUGGAAAUUAUUUGUUGGGACAGUUGAGAAGAGCAAUGUGCAUUCCAUAAUUGAAUAUCAUAACAUUUUGCGGUUUAAUAUUGCCACUGUGGUCCAAGCUGGAGAGGAGAAGAAUAAUCAUGAUAAACAAUACAAACACUGUCGGCUGAACCCUUGGGUUAGUCUUUGUUAAGAAGACACUUGUUGAUAAGUCUUUGUUUCGUCCCUUAACUCAUCACCGUACACGUGGAACUGUACUGGAAGUUAAGUACACUUUACUCUGAUAUUUAAUUUCCAUUUCAACCUAAUAUGCUCUCGAAUUCCACAACAUUGUUUGCGGGCCCAACAUCACUCCCAGUUGGACCCACACCCCCUCAUCACUUUCCAUCCAAAGCCACGUAGAUAAUGAUUCUAAUUGUUGUCUUUUUCCAACUUUCUUAAUGGUAUAAAGAACUUUCUAUUUUUAAAAUUUUCAUGGCAGCUCCAAGCCAAAUUUACAAUAAAUAAAUAUAUAUAAUCACCAGCAAAGCAUUUGUGAGGGGUCCCCCUCACCCUUUUCUCUCCAGAUUGUCACGGCUUAUUCAAAUAAUCAUGAAAAAUUAUAAUAUUUAAUUAGCUAUUAACUCGCUAAUUAGAAAAUCCUAACACAUUUAGGUAAUACUAGUAGUCUGCUAAUACACAAUCAGGUCAUAUCCACACCUUAACGGCCACGUGUAAGUUCAUCUCUUGCUUGGUGUCACGAUACACGCUUCCCCAUCUUUUCCAGCCAAAGAAAAAGGCCAAAAAAGAGAACAAAUUCACAUAAAUAAUUUAAUCAAAGUCUUUCUCAGUUAUCAAAUCCCAUACUUACAAGUUGCCCCUACGGGUAUCCUAAGAAAUAGGUUUCUGCACAGCCCUCUUCUUUUUUAGCAAGGAAAGAAAGCUACUAACCCUGGAACUUUGUGUUCUAAUUGCAUCAGAUUGAAAGUAUUCAAUUGAAUAAAACUAAUUAAAGAAAAUUAGAAGCAAGUCUUAAAUACGAAAAGGGAGCAAGAGGAGGGCUUACAUUGAGAGUGCGUUGAAUGAACUUGGCCCUCUUCUUGGGUCUCUGUGGCAGCUUUGAACCCUUAAAGGCAAUGAAAUCUUCCUCUUUCUCUUUGUUAGUUAAAGCAAUCACAAACUUGGGUGGCCAGACAGUAGGUGCAGCCUCACCGCUACCUGAAGACGACCCACCUUUCUUGCUAUCAUGCGCUGUCUCGGAAGAUGCCCCAGAUUUGCUAUUAUUAUCAUGGUUGCUGUUGUGGUUGUGGUGGGCGUAGUUGUUGGCGGUGGUUAUGCCUCUCCUAUCGUGCGUACCCUUAUCGGGAGAAGCAAGGCCUCUCACACCACCGUUACUCUGGCCUCUCAUGGCACUUGAAUUCUCAGAAUUCCUUUGGGGAUGAUCUAGAUCGGUGGGUUGGGUAGGGACUGACUAAGAAUCUCGACGGCUUUUGCGUGGAAAAUGGGGUUGUGUUCCUUGAUAGUUUUGGCUUGUCUGGUGGACUUAGUGUUAAGGCUUCCUCGGAAGGUGGUUAUGGUGAUGGAAAAGUUGAGAUUUAAAAGAGAAAGCAGAGCAGAGAUUCUAUUUUCAUUUCAAUUUCUAUUUCUAUUUCAAUCCAACGUGAAAAGCUGGUUCUAUUAGUACGUCUUUUUGGGCCGUUGGAUUGAGUUUUUCUUCGUUUCGGGGUCAGGAUUACGUGCUGAAAUUUGGAUCGACAGGGGAGAUAAAGUGGACCAUAAUCUAUGAUUAAAAGGUGUUAAUGCGUUCCCAUCAAUGAAUCGUUUUAUAGACACGUGGAAGGUACAGGACGGCUCCACCAUCCAUGUUCUCUUCGACUAUUCAUGCUGAGAACACGCUGGGGUGGCGGUGGAGCUGGUGAGGAAGGACGGUGCUGGAGAUUCAAAUAUCCAUUGCUUUGAUUAGUAUUUUUGGUGGUACUUGUUUGAUUAGAAGCCUCUUUGUCGGCUCUCACGACCCUGCGGUCGACACGAACAGUGGUUCGAUGGACCGGGGCGUUGGAAUCGUUCUUCACCUGGACCUUCAUGCACCUGAGGCGCUUCCGGCUACCCCACUGCAGAACAAAAUUCGACGUCGUUUGCUUGGUGGUCUCCGAGGCGACUCUUAACAACCCAUCGCUUCCGAUUUUGUGGGUAUUAUUGGUGUUAACAUUAUCAUUGCUUUUCAAGUAGUCCUUUUCCAUCUUCUGUUGCACACCUGAAACUUCAAGUCGUGGAAGAAAUCUGUGAUUAUCAAUCGAAUUUACACCCGAAAAGCUGAUUUUUCUGAAACGAUGAGUAUAUUACGCAGAUUUUGACAUUAUGAACACGGUGAAUCACAACAAAUUUUGCUUCAUUAAGUCCUCAGCCAACGCAAAAUGCAAAUCUAUUUUAGAUUUUCAGCUGAAUGUGACAUUUCAACGCUUAAAUCCUCGACUCUCAUAUCAGAUUCCGAUCUUUGUAUGUCCAGAAACUGAUCCCUGUAUUCUAUAAUAUGCAAGGAAAUGAACCAAUUUCCCCUCUAUAGCUGCGUAAGUCUCUAGAAAAUGUAUCUGCAAAACUCAAAUUCUGUGACCAUCCAUAUAUAAAUCUCAAUGUAAUAUAGCCAAUUGUCACAAGGUACGAUUCUCCACCAAGUAGAAAUGCCUUGCAAAAGCACCUUUAAAUCCCGCAAAUGUACCUGCUAAACUAAGUUAUCUCUCUUUGUCUCCCUCUACUAGCUGCAGAUACUCAACAUUGAUUUGUUCAAUUCUCUUAAAAUUUGACCAAAAUCUUUCUGUUUGGUUACCGGGAAAGAGAAGAAGGAAAGAGAAAGUUGGUUGGGAAAACCAGAGAGAGAAUAGAGAACCACCAAUACUGCAAACAGUUUAUUUUUUUAAUAGAAC
rnacentral:misc_RNA from 1 species